GAUGAACGCUGGCGGCGUGCCUAAUACAUGCAAGUCGAGCGAACGGACGAGAAGCUUGCUUUUCUGAUGUUAGCGGCGGACGGGUGAGUAACACGUGGAUAACCUACCUAUAAGACUGGGAUAACUUCGGGAAACCGGAGCUAAUACCGGAUAAUAUUUUGAACCGCAUGGUUCAAAAGUGAAAGACGGUCUUGCUGUCACUUAUAGAUGGAUCCGCGCUGCAUUAGCUAGUUGGUAAGGUAACGGCUUACCAAGGCAACGAUGCAUAGCCGACCUGAGAGGGUGAUCGGCCACACUGGAACUGAGACACGGUCCACACUCCUACGGGAGGCAGCAGUAGGGAAUCUUACGCAAUGGGCGAAAGCCUGACGGAGCAACGCCGCGUGAGUGAUGAAGGUCUUCGGAUCGUAAAACUCUGUUAUUAGGGAAGAACAUAUGUGUAAGUAACUGUGCACAUCUUGACGGUACCUAAUCAGAAAGCCACGGCUAACUACGUG
rnacentral:rRNA from 1 species